AUGGGUUGCGUUUUGAGGCCUGGAUGGCCCGCGGUGGUUCCUUCUCUCUCUGCGGCCCAACUAUCUUAUCUCAAGGCCGACAAACAGGGCAGCUUGGUGCUCUGCUCAACUCUAAAACAGGGCCCGUUUCGAAGGCCGAAAAUGAGGGUGGAUUACAGGCCGAAUAAGAGGAAGGAGACAUUGGUGAGACCGACCACUUAUCGCCAAUUUUCACUUCACCACCUCCAGUUGAAAUUUAGUGACAAUGGUUUACUGAAAGAUGAUGCUUCCUCUGUUCUGGCUUAUUCCUGCACAUAUUUUUAG
rnacentral:rRNA from 1 species